GACAGAUAAAUGUUCAAAAGACAGAAAAAGGAAAUUACAAACUACAAAUCACAGUGAAACUGAACUUUCUUCAAGUGCCCGCCAAUUUUUCUGAGCCAUCCUACAAUCUACCAUGUAUCAAACAUCAAUCUGAGGCAGAUGUGCAUGAGAAUGUUAGAGCACAGUUAAAUCCUAGACUAAGACCUAUAAUUAUUUCUUUUUUCACAAUUUCAAACAUACACAAAUUACAUCUAUCUCCGACCUGCAUUGGCCUCUCUACGUCUUCGUCUCCUCCCAGACCGACCCAAGAGGACUCUACCUUCACGACGAAGCCGCCCAACUAGUGACAUACCACUAUCAUCAUUAUCACCCCCACUAUUCUCACUGUCAUCAUCAGAGUACUCAAAACCACCAAUUGGGAGGUUUCGGUCAACUCCACCAGCACCUAUAUCCAAAGUGUCACUUAUCUCCCUCUCGUGCCGCCUCAUAACCCGAUUUGACCCAAUAUUCCCUGCUGAACCAAAAGCCUGCAAAAACAGAAACACAUUCAUCAAGUUGCGAUCGAUGCCCAUUCCAAAACCUUCAUUCUCAUUCAUCAUCUCAUUCGCAUCAAAACCCUCUUCAUCAUCUGAAUCAAAACCAUAAUGACUUCCUUCUAUCACAUAAUCACCAAAAACCACAGCCCCUGGCAUAGAAGAAGUUAUAGUGCUGAUAACAUCAUCCCUCUCUCGUUCCCUCUCAAGCCUUGUCCAUUUUUGUUCAAGAAGAGGAUCUACCUCACGUGGUCUAGCACAGGGGUGCUCUGCCUUAACAUGUUUUCGUAUCUCCUUGUAGCUUCCAACAAACGAGCAAUCAUCCUGCAUGCAGCUACGCUUCUUCAAAUUUAGAUACUCUCUUGCAGGUUCAACCACAGUCCAUCCCUUCACCUGGCCUCUACAUAGUGGGCAAGCAACUUCUGAGACCUCGCUUUUCUCAGAAGGCCAAGUAGAAAAUGGUUCAGCAGUUGGAGGAUCAGUAGCACCCUGCACGGGUUGAUUAUUAUCUGGCAGUAUUGCUUUAGUGUAGGCUUUCUUGUACUGAUCGAGGCAGUUUGAAUAGCGCAAGCUAGUUCCACACAUGUAGGGGCGGCAACCUUUGUCAUGAGAGGAACACAGGAGAAGCACAGCAUUAUGGGGAUAUUCCAUGCAUACAGAACAUGUUGCAUCUUCCCAGUCUUUCUUCUCAAAGAUUUUAGAGCAUUUCUUUUGGUGAACAAGUUCAGAAUGGUCAGCAGAUGGCAAAGGGUAUGGGGUGGCCCUGCAUCGUCGAGAACCAUUCCUACGUCGUCCUGUGGUCCCUUUCGCCAUUUUCUAAACAGAUCGGUAAAAAAAAUCCCAAUUGAUUAAAACUGGAGUACGAAUGAAUAGGCAACAAAAAGGACGCUUAAAGGUGAAAGAAAGAGAGAUAAAGCUAGGGUUUUCUCGUAAAAAGGAGAGAGAUCUGUGAGAGAAUUUCACUUUUAGAGCGCGGGCAUUGAAAAAUGAUAUAGAAAAAAUUUGGGGAUUUUGG
rnacentral:misc_RNA from 1 species